GCACGCUCGGGCCACAGCCGCCACGGCCCCUGGAGCCCACGGGCGGCGGCACGCAGCGCUGCCCGACCCAGCCUCGGGACGCGACGUCCCCGGGGGCCCGCGGGGUCCGCAGCAGCCGGGGACCGCGCUGGCCGCGUAGCAAGGCCCGUCAGGGACAGGGGCUGAGGAACAGUAGGGCGGCCCGAGUGACCGCUUCGUGACCCGUGUGAGCCCCGAUGCCCCGGAAGGCCUUCACCUACCGAAAUCCACACACCGGACCUCUGGGAGCCUGGAGAGGUUGCUCCUGCUUGUCCCAGCCAGCAGGCUGUGUCUGCCCCGAGGGUGACUUAAAUAGGAUGAGGAGAGGAGGAAGGAGAAUGAGCCCACUUCUGUCUCUAAAAGUUAAUGAGGUUAGGAUGUUCACAGUGAAAGCUUUCUUUUCUUCAUACCCUUUAAAAAAAUUGAAUCAUGUUUCCUGGAAGUUAAUCUAAUUAGCAGUGCUCUGCACACGCUCCUAUUAAACAAAACAACACAAUCACACAAUGUGGUGUCAGGGGACGCAACAAUUCACAGUGUUCUCUCGGGCUUUUCCAAGUCGUACCUUAUCCAUGAUGC
rnacentral:lncRNA from 1 species